rnacentral:misc_RNA from 1 species
AAGUCGUAACAAGGUUUCCGUAGGUGAACCUGCGGAAGGAUCAUUAACGAGUUUUGAAAGGGGUUGUCGCUGGCCUUUCACGAGGCAUGUGCACACCCUGCUCAUCCACUCCCAACCUCUGUGCACUUAUUGUAGGUCGGUGGAAGGCUCGCAAGAGCUGGAAGCCUGCUUAUGUUUUACUACAAACGCUUCAGUUAUAGAAUGUUUACUUGCGUAUAACGCAUUUAUAUACAACUUUCAGCAACGGAUCUCUUGGCUCUC